GCAUAUAGAGCAAGGCAGAAGUGCAUCACGGACAAGACCCAUCAGUAUCCUUAACAUGGACAUUGCAGAGUCUGACCCUUCCCUGUUCCAGAGGCUCUUCCACUAGAUGGCGGGGUAGAGAUCAGAAGAAUGACCGUAGCAGGUGAUGAGACGGAUCACAGGUCUGGGAAGGUGUUUGAGUGGAGAAUUGAAAGCCUUUUCCCGACUGGGCUCUUCUCUCUUUUGAGCUGCCCAGACCCAUUGAUCACACAGUUCACCGGCAACUUCAGUGCAGAUGGGAUUUUCCAGUGAUUCAUCGAGAAGUGGAUGGACAAUCGCUAAAUCUGGCAACUAAGGCUUCAUAGGAGUAUUGACUUCAUAAAGGGAAAAUGUCAUAGCGUUUCCGGGCACUUGCUAAGGCUCUUUAGUUAUGCUUUUGUUAAGUAGACUUUUCAAAAGUUCUUCGUCUCGUACGUUAGUCCUCAUCCAUUCUACUAAUGGGAUAUAUUUGCCCUUUAAAGUAUUGGAUACUCUUGUUUUCCUAUAGAGAAUAUGUUGCUCUGCACAUAAAAUCAGAUUAUGCAAGCAAGUUUAUCUGGUUGUGAUU